rnacentral:tRNA from 2 species
CGGGAUAUAGCACAGUUUGGUAGCGCGCCUGCUUUGGGAGCAGGAUGUCGUAGGUUCAAAUCCUACUAUCCCGA